rnacentral:lncRNA from 1 species
GCUCUCUCUGUGUGGCUCUCUCUGUGGCUCUCUCAUUCUCUGUCUCCCUGUCUCUCUGUCUCUCUGUGUCUCUGUAUCUCUGUCUCCCUCCCUGUCUAUCUCCCUCUCUAUCUGUCUAUCUGUCUCCCUCUCUGUCUAUUUGUCCUCUCUUUCUCUCUCCUCUCUUCCCCCCCCUCUUUUAUCUUCCUCUCCCUCUCCCUCCUCUCUCUCUCUCUUCUCUCUCUCUCUGACUCUUUCUCUCUCUGUGUCUCUCUGUCUCUGUCUUUCUGUCUCUAUGUCUGUCUUUCUGUGUCUGUCUCUCUCUCUGUGUCUCUGUCUCUCUCUCCCUCCAUCUCUCUCCCUCUCCCUCUCUCUCUCUUUCUCUGUCUCUCUCUGUCUCUCUCUUUGUCUCUGUCUGUCUCUCUCUCACACACACACACACAGAAUCACCUAUUACCACACAGACAAAAUAUCAUCCCUGAAAAUCAUUGCCUUGGAUACUGCCUACUUUCUUGUUAAAGAAUCGCUCAAAACGGACAAGAAGACUUUCUUUGUCACUUCUCUGACCUUCACUUGACCAACACUCUUGUUCAGGACCUUGUCACCUCCAGUCUGGACUAUUGUAAUAACCUCAAAAGAGUUUCUCUUCCUCCAGGACCCUUGCUUUUCCAAGAAAUCCUGUACACUGUGCCAAAUUGUUAUUAUUAAAACACAGAACUGACUGUAUCACUGCUCUCUCUCUCUCUCUCUCUCUCUCUCUCUCUCUCUCUCUCUCUCUGUCUCUCUCUCUGUCUCUCUCUCUCUCUCUCUCUCUCUCUCUCUCUGUCUCUCUCUCUGUCUCUCUCUGUCUCUCUCUGUCUCUCUCUCUGUCUCUCUGUCUCUCUCUCUUUCUGUCUCUCUCUGUCUCUCUCUAUCUCUGUCUCUGUCUGUCUCUCUGUCUGUCUCUCUGUCUCUGUCUCUUUUCUCUCUCUCUCUCUCUCUCUCUCUGUCUCUCUCUCUGUCUCUCUCUGUCUCUCUCUCUGUCUCUCUCUCUGUCUCUCUGUCUCUCUCUCUUUCUGUCUCUCUCUGUCUCUCUCUGUCUCUGUCUCUGUCUGUCUGUCUGUCUGUCUGUCUCUCUCUCUCUCUCUCUCUGUCUCUCUCUGUCUCUCUCUCUGUCUCUCUGUCUAUGUCUAUGUCUAUCUCUCUGUCUCUCUCUCUGUCUCUCUGUCUAUGUCUAUGUCUAUCUCUCUGUCUCUCUGUCUCUCUCUCUCCCUCUCUCUCUCCCUCUUUCUCUGUCUCUCUCUCUGUCUGUCUGUCUGUCUGUCUGUCUGUCUCUCUCUCUCUCUCUCUGUCUCUGUCUCUCUGUCUCUGUCUCUCUCUCACUCUGUCUCUGUCUCUCUCUCUGUCUCUCUCUGUCUCUCUCUCUCUCUGUCUCUCUCUCUCUCUUGCACUCCCAUACACUCAGCCCUCUGUGAGAAUCAGGCUCAAGCCAGACGUGUACAAAACUCCAGGUGAGAUAAAUGCUGCCUGGGAAGACUCCCAUGACGUGAUGUGGAAUUAAGAAAGCAGUGACCAAGUAUGGUCCCAGAGAGAGUUGAGGCAAUAGGGGUUAAGUGACUUGCCAAGAAUACACAUCUGAAGUGCAAUUAUCAAUAAUAGGGAAAUAGGUCUUGAUCAAUGAUACAUGUAAAACCCAGUGAAAGUGCGUGUCGGAUAUGGGGGAGGGGAAGGAGGAGGGGAGGGAAAGAGCAUGAAUCAUGUAAUCAUGGAAAAAUAUUCUAAAUUAAUUAAUUAAAUAAAAUUUUCAAUUAAAAAAAGAAUCA